ACAUAGGCAGCCCUAGCAUUCCCCUUCCACUUGCUUUGCACCACAUGCACAAAGACCGGUUGCUCCCUCUCUACUUGAUCUUCUUCUUGGGGCGAAGCUGGUUGCUGUGCCCGCACUUCUUCUUUCUACAAUUCACAGCCCGGGGGUGUAGACGGGCGUAGCACCUGCACAUGCGUAGAAAUUAUUAUUAAAUCUACCUUCAAUCCCCAUCUACGGCUCAACUCCGUACCACCACUCAGCACGAGCCAUUUCACGCAUUUCAGUACACAAACUGACCUUCGGUCAAGAACCCUUCCGCAUGCCAUAAUAUUUCACACCACCCCCCAUCCGAUCCCCAACGCUAAUGACACAAACUGCCUCUUCAAUGCUCUUCCACGAAAACGCCUACCCACCUAGCAUCUUAAUACAAUCUGUCACCAGCGAGGUUGCCAUGUAAGUGUGAGAAUCCUAACCCUUCCCGUAUGCAAAUCCCUCUAAUCCCGUAUGUGACAUCGGAGCAUAAUUAUAAUUAUGCUCCACUUUACAGCCUCGACAUAGCAUAAAAUUCAUCCUCUCCUGUCCACUCGCGGGACGCCCACCUUAUGAUUCUAUUAACUACACAUAAACCCGUACGACACAGUUCACAUGAAACUGCGCUGCAAUAGUGAGCUUAAAAGGGCCGAGCACUCACUUCCGGCAGAUCAUCUUCUCCUGGUUGUACUUGCGAGCCAGUGCCAUUAAAGAUGGCUCGAUAAUACCGCCCCGCAGACGGAGCACCAAGUGCAAGGUAGACUCCUUCUGGAUGUUGUAGUCGGCAAGAGUGCGGCCAUCCUCCAGCUGCUUGCCGGCGAAGAUGAGCCUCUGCUGGUCGGGAGGGAUGCCCUCCUUGUCCUGAAUCUUCGUCUUCACAUUGUCGAUAGUGUCGGAGGACUCGACCUCGAGAGUGAUGGUCUUGCCCGUCAGGGUCUUCACGAAGAUCUGCAUGGUGACAAUAAGCUCCGCGCCAACACCUCAACACUCGCCACAACAAACCGCAAAGGCGAAAGAGGGUGGGCGGGGCAGACUCCGC
rnacentral:lncRNA from 1 species